rnacentral:rRNA from 1 species
GGUCAGGAUGAACGCUGGCGGCGUGCUAACACAUGCAAGUCGAACGAAGCCAAAAGGAAGCUUGCUUCUUGAAGCUUAGUGGCGGACGGGUGGAGUAACGCGUGAGGAACCUGCCCUUCAGUGGGGAAUAACAGCCGGAAACGACUGCUAAUACCGCAUAACGUCAUCGGACCGCAUGAUCUGGUGACCAAAGGAUUUAUUCGCUGAAGGAUGGCCUCGCGUCCGAUUAGGCAGUUGGUGAGGUAACGGCCCACCAAACCUACGAUCGGUAGCCGAACUGAGAGGUUGAUCGGCCACAUUGGGACUGAGACACGGCCCAGACUCCUACGGGAGGCAGCAGUGGGGAAUAUUGGGCAAUGGGCGAAAGCCUGACCCAGCAACGCCGCGUGAAGGAAGACGGUCUUCGGAUUGUAAACUUCUUUGAUUGGGGAAGAACACAAUGACCUACCCAAAGAACAAGUCACGGCUAACUACGUGCCAGCCGCAGC